rnacentral:rRNA from 1 species
UACGGGGGGGGCAAGCGUUGUUCGGAAUUACUGGGCGUAAAGGGCUCGUAGGCGGCCAACUAAGUCAGACGUGAAAUCCCUCGGCUUAACCGGGGAACUGCGUCUGAUACUGGAUGGCUUGAAUCCGGGAGAGGGAUGCGGAAUUCCAGGUGUAGCGGUGAAAUGCGUAGAUAUCCGGAGGAACACCGGUGGCGAAGGCGGCUUCCUGGACCGAUCACUGACGCUGAGGCGCGAAAGCGUGGGGAGCAAACAGG